rnacentral:rRNA from 1 species
UACGUAGGGUGCGAGCGUUGUCCGGAUUUACUGGGCGUAAAGAGCGCGCAGGCGGCUGGUCAAGUCCGAUGUGAAAUCUCCCGGCUCAACUGGGAAACUGCAUCGGAAACUGAUCGGCUUGAAGAUGGGAGAGGGUAGUGGAAUUCCCGGUGUAGUGGUGAAAUGCGUAGAUAUCGGGAGGAGCACCAGUGGCGAAGGCGACUACCUGGCCUGUUCUUGACGCUGAGGCGCGAAAGCUAGGGGAGCAAACGGG